UGGCGAACGGGUGAGUAACGCGUGAGGAACCUGCCUCAAAGGGGGGGACAACAGUUGGAAACGACUGCUAAUACCGCAUAAGCCCACGGUGCCGCAUGGCACAGAGGGAAAAGGAGCAAUCCGCUUUGAGAUGGCCUCGCGUCCGAUUAGCUAGUUGGUGAGGUAACGGCCCACCAAGGCAACGAUCGGUAGCCGGACUGAGAGGUUGAACGGCCACAUUGGGACUGAGACACGGCCCAGACUCCUACGGGAGGCAGCAUG
rnacentral:rRNA from 1 species